rnacentral:rRNA from 1 species
AACGAACGCUGGCGGCAGGCUUAACACAUGCAAGUCGAACGCUCGUGGCAACACGGGAGCGGCAGACGGGUGAGUAACGCGUGGGAACCUACCUCAUGGUGCGGAAUAACUCAGGGAAACUUGAGCUAAUACCGCAUGUGCCCUUCGGGGGAAAGAUUUAUCGCCAUGGGAUGGGCCCGCGUCGGAUUAGCUAGUUGGUGGGGUAACGGCCUACCAAGGCGACGAUCCGUAGCUGGUCUGAGAGGAUGAUCAGCCGCACUGGGACUGAGACACGGCCCAGACUCCUACGGGAGGCAGCAGUGGGGAAUAUUGGACAAUGGGCGCAAGCCUGAUCCAGCCAUGCCGCGUGAGUGAUGAAGGCCUUAGGGUUGUAAAGCUCUUUCGCCGGUGAAGAUAAUGACGGUAACCGGAGAAGAAGCCCCGGCUAACUUCGUGCCAGCAGCCGCGGUAACAC